AUGUCUGAGAUGAACAUGACCGGCGAGAUCCCAAAGGCAUACUCGAGCCUAGUGAACCUCCAGCUAAUUGCUAUAACCAAGAACGAUCUCACCGGCGAGAUCCCGGCAUGGGUCUGGCAGCGCCCAAAACUCGAGUACUUGUACCUGUUCGCCAAUGGACUCACCGGCAAACUACCGCGCAAAAUCAGGUCGGUGAAUUUGAUAGAGCUUGAUGUGUCGUCGAACCAUCUCACAGGAGAAAUACCAGAAGACAUUGGUAACCUCAAGAACCUGACCAUACUAUUCAUGUACACCAACCAGCUCACCGGCAUCAUUCCAGCAAGCAUAGCGAUGCUCCUCAAUCUUAGGGACAUCAGGCUACAUGAAAACAAGCUCUCGGGUGAGCUGCCGGUGGAGCUUGGGAAGCACUCGCCUCUCAGCAACCUCGAGAUUUCCAUCAACAACCUGUCUGGCCCGCUCCCAGAAUCAAUUUGCGCCAACGGGAUGCUCGACGACAUUGUGGUCUCCAACAACAGCUUGUCUGGCGAGCUCCCGAAAAACCUCACGGACUGCGUCCUGCUGAACAACCUCAUGAUCUCCAACAACAGCUUCCACGGCAAGUUUCCCGAGAAAAUUUGGUCAUUGCCGAAGUUGACCAAGUUGGUGAUAGAGAGCAAUGGUUUCACUGGGUUUUUACCG
rnacentral:rRNA from 1 species